rnacentral:rRNA from 1 species
UGGAAGUAAAAGUCGUAACAAGGUUUCCGUAGGUGAACCUGCGGAAGGAUCAUUACCGAGUGUAGGGUUCCUAGCGAGCCCAACCUCCCACCCGUGUUUACUGUACCUUAGUUGCUUCGGCGGGCCCGCCAUUCAUGGCCGCCGGGGGCUCUCAGCCCCGGGCCCGCGCCCGCCGGAGACACCACGAACUCUGUCUGAUCUAGUGAAGUCUGAGUUGAUUGUAUCGCAAUCAGUAAAACUUUCAACAAUGGAUCUCUUGGUUCCGGCAUCGAUGAAGAACGCAGCGAAAUGCGAUAACUAGUGUGAAUUGCAGAAUUCCGUGAAUCAUCGAGUCUUUGAACGCACAUUGCGCCCCCUGGUAUUCCGGGGGGCAUGCCUGUCCGAGCGUCAUUGCUGCCCAUCAAGCACGGCUUGUGUGUUGGGUCGUCGUCCCCUCUCCGGGGGGGACGGGCCCCAAAGGCAGCGGCGGCACCGCGUCCGAUCCUCGAGCGUAUGGGGCUUUGUCACCCGCUCUGUAGGCCCGGCCGGCGCUUGCCGAACGCAAAUCA